UACGGAGGGUGCGAGCGUUGUCCGGAAUCAUUGGGUUUAAAGGGUACGUAGGCGGUACGUUAAGUCAGGGGUGAAAGGUUGCAGCUCAACUGCAGAAUGGCCUUUGAUACUGGUGUUCUUGAGUUAUGUUGCUGUGGGUGGAACAUGGGGUGUAGCGGUGAAAUGCAUAGAUAUCACAUGGAACACCGAUUGCGAAGGCGGCUCACAGAGCAAUUACUGACGCUGAGGGGCGAAAGCGUGGGGAGCGAAAGGG
rnacentral:rRNA from 1 species